rnacentral:rRNA from 1 species
AUUGAACGCUGGCGGCAGGCCUAACACAUGCCAGUCGAGCGAGCGGCGGACGGGUGAGUAAUGUCUGGGAAACUGCCUGAUGGAGGGGGAUAACUACUGGAAAAGGUAGCUAAUACCGCAUACCAUCAGAUGUGCCCAGAUGGGAUUAGCUAGUAGGUGGGGUAACGGCUCACCUAGGCGACGUUCCCUAGCUGGUCUGAGCGGAUGAACAGCAACACUGGAACGGAGACACGGUCCAGACUCCUACGGGAGGCAGCAGUGGGGAAUAUUGCACAAUGGGCGCAAGCCUUAUGCAGCAAUGCCGCGUGUGUGAAGAAUGUCUUCGGGUUGUAAAGCACUUUCAGCGGGGAGGCGUUACCCGCAGAAGAAGCACCGGCUAACUCCGUGCCAGCAGCCGCGGUAAUUC